UGGGGAAUCUUGGACAAUGGGGGCAACCCUGAUCCAGCCAUGCCGCGUGAGUGAUGAAGGCCUUAGGGUCGUAAAGCUCUUUCGCCUGUGAAGAUAAUGACGGUAGCAGGUAAAGAAACCCCGGCUAACUCCGUGCCAGCAGCCGCGGUAAUACGGAGGGGGUUAGCGUUGUUCGGAAUUACUGGGCGUAAAGCGCACGUAGGCGGACCAGAAAGUUGGGGGUGAAAUCCCGGGGGCUCAACCCCGGAACUGCCUCCAAAACUAUUGGUCUAGAGUUCGAGAGAGGUGAGUGGAAUUCCAAGUGUAGAGGUGAAAUUCGUAGAUAUUUGGAGGAACACCAGUGGCGAAGGCGGCUCACUGGCUCGAUACUGACGCUGAGGUGCGAAAGUGUGGGGAGCAAAACAGGAUUAGAUACCCUGGUAGUCCACACCGUAAAACGAUGAAUGCCAGUCGUCGGGUAGCAUGCUAUUCGGUGACACACCUAACGGAUUAAGCAUUCCGCCUGGGGAGUACGGCCGCAAGGUUAAAAACUC
rnacentral:rRNA from 1 species